GUUUUAAUAGUUUAAUAAAAAUUUUGAUUUUGUAAUUCAAGGAUAAGAGAUAUUCUUUUAAAACU
rnacentral:tRNA from 1 species